AAUACGAAGCUCUAUCUAUAAUCGUUUUAUCAAACUAACUUAGUAAACAAAUGUAGUAUUUAGAGAAAGUAUUUGUGCUUAUUAAAAUCAAUUUAAUACGUAUCUGACAUGCCGAAUAAUACUGAGACACCAAAUGUACAAGUUAACCCUACAUUGAGAACGAGAUUAAUAUUCCUCCAACAACAGUAUGUAAAUAAAAUGAAAGAACUCGGUGAUCUUAAGAUUGAAUGUUUAAAAGACGAAAUUGACAAUAAAAAAAUGUUGAUGGGCUUAGAAAAAAUUAAAUGUAGUUUGGAAAACAAGUUAGAGAAUGUGGCAGAUAUUAGACGAGUAUAGUGUCGAACUAUUGAAAUAUACAAUAAUUUCCAAACAAAAGUGUUUUAUUGGAAAAAAUACAAAUAUUUAAAAAUGUACCUGAAGAACGGCAGUCAAAAAUCCAGUGGGAAAAGUAUAGGCGGCUAACCAAAAAAAUAAUGGAGGUCGCAGUGUUUUCGCCCAUGCAGUAAAAUGUUCUACUCUAGCUACAAGAUCUCUGGUCCAGUUACCCAGUAACUUUAACGAAGGAUACGCUGAAAUAGAUGAUAAAAUAAAAUCAUUACAAUGUCCAAUGAUGAUGAUAUUUGAUGCUACCAGAGACAAUGAAAACUCAACUUGCAAUUUCAAAAAUAUAUCAAGAACAAUCUACAAAAUCAUCCAAUCCCUAAUAAGUAAGAGUCAUUCUGGACAUAGGAAUGAAGAUCAAGGUUUACUUAGACUACCUAGUGGAUGAUUCAAGCUAAAACUGAAGACCGAGCUCCAUCUUAUCAUGUUGUAGGCAUCUACAGUAAAAGAUUUUAUACUAAGAGCAACCAAAGAAGCUGCAAGUUGAGCAGGAUGACAACCUUAAGGAAACAACCCAGAAAAUCUGAUUCUGAACCUGAUUCUCUUGAAAAACGUUGUCAAUAUCCAUUAUCAGUUGUUGUGGUGUACAAUUAUGCAAACAAAUCUUCAAUUAAUAAAAUCUACAAAAUCACCCAGUUCUAAAACACCACAGUAGUCCUGGACCAAACAAUGAAGUUCCAAGGUUUACUUGACUCCCUAAUGGACGAUUCAAGCUAGAACUGAAGACCAAGAGUCAUUUUAACAGAAUCAACCUCAUCCUCGUUAUAAGAUCAAUGUUUACUUGGACUACUUAGUGUAUGAUUCAAGCUGGAACUGAAGAGCAUGCCACUACCAAACCUAGCACUAGAACUAAAAACUAAUUUUAUAGCCAUAAUUGAGUAUUAAAUGUGAAUUUUACCUGUUAACCAGGUUGGAGGUACUCUUCCAUCGUAUAUGCAAUCAAAUAUUUCUUCCAAUUCCGAAGACAUAACAACUAAACCCAAUAUUCCUUUUCCUAGAUCUUCCAAAGAUGAUUGAAUUCUCAACAAUAACACAUUGUAUCUAAAAACAUUUUGAAAGUACUAAAAAAAUUAACUAUAACAAUAUGACUCGAUACCUUUGAAUUUCUUGUAGUAGCACUACAUCCAAAGGAGUUUUUGUAGCUCCCAUCAACUUCUCGGUAUGUUCGUAAUCAAUUAUAUUCGGUAAUUUCAAUAAUACAUCUUCGGCUAAUUCGGAUACUCUUUCUUCUUUAGAUUUAUCGCUUCCGGAAACGGCUUGAACUUGUAGCGACAUCAAAGUUUCAAACAACAUCCUGGAUUCGCUUAUCAAUGAAGUGAUAUCAGCAUUGGGGUGUUGACCGAACGCUUCCGGUCUAUCCACAUUCGGUAAAAGGGUGAUGUAGUCCAAAUAUGAUUGAAUCGAACCAUCUCGUGGUACGUAGUAGGUGGAUAACGAUGACAACCUUAGAAAAAUAAAUUAGUAAUUAUAUAUUUUGUAUUAUCCUGUAUAUCAUCUAUAAUAGAAGUCACAAUGUAUAUAUAAACAUGUGUUCUAUUUUAUCUAUCAAAAUUGUUUAGGAUGAGAAAAGAUGUGGUAAUAUACUGUGUGUAUUUGAAAAAUUAUUCAAAAUGUACAAUACAGUGUGAUACCUGAAAUAAGCUACGUUCAAGCAAUCGUCGCAGAAAUACUGAUUUAUAUAGGUUGUCAAUAAGCGUCUGUCCCAAUCAUCGGUGACAUGUCCACCAUAACUUACACCGGCAAUUAAAUACUUUAGAGCGUCCCAAGGGGUAGUUUGGUAUUCGUUUAAAUAUAUAGUCAGGAGGUUUUCUGAUACCUAAAAUGAAAUAUAAGUACCAGAAAUAUACAGAAAAAAGAAGGAAAGGAGAGAAAAACAUAGAAUAUAGUAGAAAACAGAAACCCAAAUUAGAACAAGGAUCAGAUAAAAAUUAAGAUAGGAAAGUGAAUGACAGAAAUGCAAACUAGGACAAGUAUCAGGAAAGCAUUUGAGAUAAAAAAGUGAACAAAGAGAAAUGGAAUAAGAGAAAAAUAUAGAGGAACGCGGGAGAAGAUGGGAGUACAAACUAGGACAAGGAUCUGAAAGAAAUCAAAAUAAAAAAGUAAAGAAAAAUAAAGAUAAGGAGAUAAAAACAUAGGAAAAGGAAGAAAUACAAAAUAGGACAAGUAUAAGAAAAAAAUAAAGAUAAAACGGCAAAAAAGAUGAAAAAAAUGUAAAUCAAGAUAGAAAUAUAAAGAGAGGAGAGUAAACAUAAAGGAAUAUUGGAGAAGACACAAGUACAAAUUAGGAUAAGUUAUAGACAAAAUUCAUGAUAGAAA